UACAGAGGGUGCGAGCGUUAAUCGGAAUUACUGGGCGUAAAGCGCACGUAGGCGGCUUGGUAUGUCGGGUGUGAAAUCCCCGGGCUCAACCUGGGAACUGCAUCCGAAACUGCCUUGCUAGAGUAUGGGAGAGGGAAGUGGAAUUUCCGGUGUAGCGGUGAAAUGCGUAGAUAUCUGGAGGAACACCGGUGGCGAAGGCGGCAUCCUGGACCGACACUGACACUGAGGAGCGAAAGCCAGGGGAGCAAACGGG
rnacentral:rRNA from 1 species